rnacentral:lncRNA from 1 species
UUUGAUGCAAGCCAUAAAUGGUACAGCUCAAGUGAUAGACUAUGAGUUCCGAACAGAAGUAUGAAAUUAAUCUGGCAUCUACCAAAAGACAUCCCAAACAGUUUUGGAAGUUUACAAAAGUAGGACUUGCAUACACAUUAACUUUAUUUAUGAGCUAUACUUUUAUGAUUUUUUAAACUCUCGAGUCAUUUUGUGCUUUGGGCAACUUUAGUGCUGGUGCAGGUCAUGUCAGCAGGCCAGCAUUAGUAAAUGAUGCAUAUUAAUUCAUAAACAAUAGUGCAAUGAUCUCUUGCAUUUACUACAUAGAGCAUUAGAGCAGUUUCGCUUACAAAACAGGACUGAAAGAGGCAUAUUGACAACUACGUUAUGUCUUCACAGAGAAAGGAAAGGUGCAUUGGCUUUCAUGCUUGAUUCGCAGAUCUGGUUCAGCCGUCUCUUUUAUCCUUAUUGCAGUUAGCACCUCCCAUACUAUGAUCCAUCUUCCUUUCUAAGCAUAAUUUCAGAAUGGUACAGCAUUUAGUUUGAAGAUAUGUGGCUGUGGUUCAUCUCUUCAUCCCACCCGUAGGUUAACCUUAUCCCUGAUCAGUCCGCCUUUGCCUCUUCCCAUUUUUGUUGUUUCUCUGGUAGCUACCGGUUGUUGUGGGCGUGUACCCCUCACAACCACCAACUGGUUUCCUAUGUGAACACAUCACCAUCAUCUUGGGUAGUCAAAUGGCAACAAUUGUUACAGUUAUUAUAUGAUUUAGUAUGAUUUCUGCUUGUGUGCAUUUCUUUCGCUACUAGUCACAAACCCUGGUUAUUCGUAUUGUGAGAUUGUUAGUCCCAAUACUCGGCAAGACUUCUCGACAUUGAUUAUGAUGGAUAUGACCUAAACUUCAAUGCUGUUUGAUUUUUUUCAUGAGCCGAGUUCAGUAGCACCUUGUCAAACAUCCUGGCCAUAUUUUUCUUCGCCGCUUGAACUAGGGAA